AGCAUAUCAAUAAGCGGAGGAAAAGAAACCAACAGGGAUUGCCUCAGUAACGGCGAGUGAAGCGGCAACAGCUCAAAUUUGAAAUCUGGCCCCAGGCCCGAGUUGUAAUUUGCAGAGGAUGCUUUUGGCGCGGUGCCUUCCAAGUUCCCUGGAACGGGACGCCACAGAGGGUGAGAGCCCCGUCAGGUCGUGCAACCAAGCCUUUGUAAAGCUCCUUCGACGAGUCGAGUAGUUUGGGAAUGCUGCUCUAAAUGGGAGGUAUAUGUCUUCUAAAGCUAAAUAUUGGCCAGAGACCGAUAGCGCACAAGUAGAGUGAUCGAAAGAUGAAAAGCACUUUGAAAAGAGAGUUAAACAGCACGUGAAAUUGUUGAAAGGGAAGCGUUCAUGACCAGACUUGGGCCCGGUUGAUCAUCCAGCGUUCUCGCUGGUGCACUCUGCCGGCCCAGGCCAGCAUCAGUUCGCUCCGGGGGACAAAGGUUCCGGGAACGUGGCUCCCUCGGGAGUGUUAUAGCCCGGUUCAAAUGCCCUGGGGUGGACUGAGGUCCGCGCAUUGCAAGGAUGCUGGCGUAAUGGUCAUCAACGACCCGUCUUGAAACACGGACCAAGGAGUCGUCUUCGUAUGCGAGUGUUUGGGUGUAAAACCCCGGCGCGUAAUGAAAGUGAACGCAGGUGAGAGCUUCGGCGCAUCAUCGACCGAUCCUGAUGUUCUCGGAUGGAUUUGAGUAAGAGCAUACGGGGCCGGACCCGAAAGAAGGUGAACUAUGCCUGUAUAGGGUGAAGCCAGAGGAAACUCUGGUGGAGGCUCGCAGCGGUUCUGACGUGCAAAUCGAUCGUCAAAUAUGGGCAUGGGGGCGAAAGACUAAUCGAACCUUCUAGUAGCUGGUUUCC
rnacentral:rRNA from 1 species